GCGCACAUAGCUUUGCCGGCCCUUAGGAAAUUUGUUUGGCAACGGUGCACACUAUGGGAAAAUAAAUUAAAGAAAAAAGACAAAAAAAAAAAAAAGAAUAAAAGAGAAGUCAGAUUUGGGCGGAAGGAAACUGAAGUUUGUUAUCGGAUGUGUUUACAUGGGAUUGUUUAAAUAUCCUUGUAAAAAUGGUAGUCAAUUUUUUAAACCAGCUGUCUGAAUCCUUCUGGUCAUCAGAUGUGUGGUUACCUCCUGGAGUCACCUGGAAGGAUUUAGAACCUAACGACCAAAACCCAAUAGCAUAUCCCCGUUUUAGCGAUAUUUGGUACCCUGUUUUAUUUUCGUUCGCCCUAACGUUCCUCAGGCUCUUAUUCGAAAAGUAUGUUUUCUUCCCGUUAGGCAUAGCCAAUGGCUUGAGACCUGUCAGACCAUGGAAGGGACAGGCUCCUGACAAUCCCGUACUUGAGAAGGCUUUCCUUGUUGCCCGAAAAGGCAGAUUGAACUACAAACAGAUUCAAGGACUUGCAAAACAGUUGGAUUGGACUGAAAGGCAAGUGGAGAGAUGGAUUCGCAUGAGACGAAUGAUGGACCGGCCUUCUACACUUGUCAAAUUCAUGGAAUGUGGCUGGAGAUUCAGCUACUAUGGAUUUGCCUUUGGCUACGGAGUGUGGACUCUCUGGGAUAAAGACUGGUUUUGGGAUAUCAAUCAUUGCUGGUACACCUUUCCACAUCAGGGGGUGACAAAUGACAUUUGGUGGUAUUAUAUGAUGGAACUAAGUUUUUAUUGGUCUCUACUCUUUUCCAUGUUUGAAGACAUUAAGAGAAAAGAUUUUUUGGAGAUGUUGAUUCACCACUUUGUCACUAUUAUUCUCUUGGUUCUGUCGUGGACGUGCAACCUCAUUCGUGCCGGGACGCUAGUCCUUGUGAUACACGAUUGCGCCGAUAUUUUCUUGGAAAUGGCCAAAAUGAUGAAGUACAUCAAAUGGCAACGUACCUGCGAUGUAUUGUUUGCCAUCUUUACGGUUACCUGGAUAGGUACGCGGCUGGUGAUUUAUCCAUAUUGGUUCCUUUACAGCACUUGUAUCGGUGCCAAAGAGAUAGUUCCCAUGUUUCCAGCCUACUACAUUUUCAAUUCGUUGCUACUUUUACUCCUCGUUUUGCACAUCAUCUGGACGUAUUUCAUACUUAAAGUAUUAUAUCGAGCCAUUCUUUCAGGGCAGAUGGAAAAAGAUUCGCGCAGCUCAUCUAGCGAAGAUUUCAGUGAAGACAACAGCAAAUCUGGCAAUUCUUCAGCCACCCCUACAACUCCAUCCAAACGAUUGCCAGCAAAGUCAGGCAGUCACAGUCGAGAACACAAAAAUUCCAAAUAGUCGUAAUGAUCGUGGUCCAAUAAAGUUCAGAGUGUUUGCUGCUGAGUCUGAGCCUUUUUCUCUCGUAAUCACAUUGCUUGAGAAGCAUCAAAUACGGUCUAUUGUUUUCACGAAAAUGGAUGGACAUCAUUUCGUGUCCCAAGAACGGAAUAACUGCACUAUCAUAAUUUCUUCGAGUGUGUGUGUGUGUGUGUGAGCAUCAAUCUCUCGUCGAUGUUUGGUAUUCAGCGUCUUGUCCUGCUGGUCUUUGUUGAGGUAUUUCAAUUCCCACUACUGACCUUUUCCUCUAUUUCUUUUUGUUUUUUAAAUAGCCUAUUUUUCCCUCCCCCCCCCCCCUACAGUUGUCUUCCCCAAAGUUAUCUGAUUAAUCGUAUGAUGUGCAUCAGCAGCAGUGCCUUUAUUUACGCAAAGCAAAAAGAAAUCGCUUCAUCUGCCGAUCUAAUUCUUCCGCCAAGUUGUUUUCUGUUUGUUUAUGAAUUGCUGUAAUAAAACAGUUUCGAUGA
rnacentral:misc_RNA from 1 species